CCGCUACAGAGUUCUUGGCAGCAGAUCCAUGUUCAGUGCUGCCUUAUUCAGGGAUGGUGUUAACAUCACAUACUUGCUUCAAGCCAAGAAAAGGUUGCUCCGUUUGUUUUUAUAAACGCAAUGCCAGUGAUCCCUAUUCCCCAGAAAGACACUUUUUGAAGUUCCCUUUCACCCCAGAGCACUUGAGGUUUCGCCAGAGAUGAAACCAGCCCUUACUACUUGGACAAACAGGCAAAGUACAAUGAAUGUCAUUGCGUUUUUCAGUGCGUAUUUGCUAAGCUUCGAGAGACCAGAUGGCCUUGAGGAAGAGCAAUGAGAGAAAUACAUGGUGGUAAAACAAGGACAGUGAGGAGAUCAAUGCUGUUAAGAACAAAGAGGUCGUACGAAUGAAACUGAAGGAGCAGGAGAGCACAGAGGCAGAAUGAAAGAGUAUGAGGCAGCAAGUGGAGGAAAGAAAAGGGAUCACUAAGUGUAUGUGAUUUGGUCAAGCCAAGCCACAGUGUUCUUAUCAACAAUGUUCAAGGCACGAAGCCCUCCCGGAAGUUGAGUCAUUCUGCAAUCCUCACCAAUGUAUGUCAUGCACUGAGUGGAGCAUUCUGAAUUUUGAGAAGAUGAGAGAAUUCAGGACAUCACAUCUAUAUGCCUAGGCACCUUCAGCAGGAAAAGCCAUUGCUAGGAAGCUGGUGCUUGAGACUGGAGGCUAAAUCGCUUAUAAUCACGACAGACCUUUUGCAGAAUUCCUGUCAGGUUCAUGGUUUGGGAAGUACUGAUGCUGUGUGACAGAAGUCAGAAGCCAAAUAUUUAUAACACCCCAAGCGUUUACAAGGGAACUUGAUCCCUUCCUCCAGAGACCUUGCAGU